rnacentral:rRNA from 1 species
ACGGAGGGUGCGAGCGUUGUCCGGAAUCAUUGGGCGUAAAGGGCGCGUAGGUGGCCCGCUCAGCGUGCGGUGAAAGCCUGGGGCUCAACCCCGGGUCGGCCGUGCGAACUGGUGGGCUGGAGCACUGUAGAGGCAGGCGGAAUUCCGGGUGUAGCGGUGGAAUGCGUAGAGAUCCGGAAGAACACCGGUGGCGAAGGCGGCCUGCUGGGCAGUUGCU